rnacentral:rRNA from 2 species
GUAGGUGACCUGCGGAGGGAUCAUUA